UGAUGCCCACUGACCACAAUACUACAUAUACUUGUCUUUCAAUAUUUUCUGACUAACAGUAGGCCAUAUUCAACUAUGAAGGUUUAUGUGUACAAAGAAUACUACAUUUUUUCUGUGACCAACCUUUUUCGUAGCAACAGGACGGCCACCACCACCAGCAGAAUAACAGCCACUCCAGCCACAGCUCCCAUCACCAUGGUGGAAGGGUUCUGGAUCUGAGACUCGGCUGUGAAGAGAGGCGGGACAAGCAAUGAGAUGACAUGAAAGUGGGAUUUGACUUGAUUGACUGAGAUUGAGUGAGAGCGCUACCUAGUGGGGCCGUGUGGAACUCGUACUCCAUGCUAAUCAGGACCGUGUAAGUGGUUACGUCACGCUCUCCAUCUCCAUCCUUCAAAGGCAAGGUUGAAAGACGUGGAUUAAGAUCAUCUUCCAUCAAAACAACAAGGAGCCCCUCGGUGGAAUGUCCGCACACAAGAAGCACUCUGUCUUACUUUUCUGCGGUACAUCAGCUCAUAGCGAUGACUGAUGUGGGCUGGAGGUCUGCGAGACAGAGCCCACGAAAGAGACAGGCUGUUGGGGCUGCGAUCAUCCAGAUGGAUCAGCGUCACCUUUGGGGGAUCUAAGGGUGGCCAGCUGUCCUUCCCAUAUUUUUCGGGUCAGAGCAAACCCUUUUGAAGAAGAUGGCACAAAAGAGAGAAAAAA